UAAGGGCACCACAAGAACGCGUGGAGCAUGUGGCUUAAUUUGACUCAACGCGGGAAAUCUUACCGGGUCCGGACACACUGAGGAUUGACAGGCAAUAUUAAUACGUUUUGCUUCGGUAACAUCGUAUUAUGUUAAAUAUGCUAGUCCUUUCAUGAUUAUGUGAUAGGUGGUGCAUGGCCGUUCUUAGUUCGUGGAGUGAUCUGUCUGCUUAAUUGCGUUUCACUAAGGGCCUAUAAAUUUACGUGUGUUGCAUCGCACUUUGACCCCUUUCUUUAAUUAGAGAGCGCGUGUCUUAGUUUUCGCUUUGCUCAUACAAUUAGGUCCUGAAAGCAACGAACGUGACCGCAACCUCUUGUUGCCUUUAUACCAAACAUGUUUUGCGUCAAUUUUCGAAUUGCGCGCAUUUCAUGAAAAAAGGCUUUUUAAAYUAGAGGGACCGCUGUUACUUUCUUAAACCAGAGGAAGGUUGCGGCAAUAACAGGUCUGUGAUGCCCUUAGAUGUUCCGGGCUGCACACGUGCUACAAUGAUUAUUGCAGUGAGCAUCUCAUUUUUACACACCGCAUGCGCGAGUCCAYUUAUUCACCUUCGGGUGUUUUAAAUGUGUAUCUCUGCGCGCGGUAAAGCCUGCUUCGACAGUAAGUGGGUAAUCAAUUAGAAGUAAUGAUUUCCUUUUUUUUAGCACACAUAUAUACGGCGUCUAUGCCCGGGUUACCUUGUUGUAGCUUUUGUGCGUAUAGAUGUUUUUUCCGUAUGUGCGAUUGUCAAUUCAUGGUGGGGACAGACCAUUGUUAAUUGUUGGUCUCGGUCUUAACUUAGGAAUGCCUUGUACGGGUCUUUGGUUCAACAAACCACCCGGAAUACGUCCCUGCCCUUUGUACACACCGCCCGUCGCUCUUACCGAUGGACUUCUCUGUGAGUUUGAGGGACUGGGAACGCAGGAAUUUAUUUCUGCACACCUAGGAAACUUAAACGAACAGGUGGUGGUCUAAAGGAAAGAGAAGUCGU
rnacentral:rRNA from 1 species